rnacentral:misc_RNA from 1 species
UGCAGGGGCUGUUAUUUUUUCACUCAAAAUAUUUCUUUGUUGAUUGCUCUAUUUUAGGCGCGUAGAAUCACAUUGCUAACGAAAUGAUGACUUGAAAGUGAGCGAAUAUUAUCGGGAUUUAUACAUGGCGAGAAUUUAAAGAACUACUUUCAUGUGCAAUGUGUCAAGCAGACGAAUGAAGAAUCCCACCGAUCAACAAGAACCGAAUGAAACGUGUGUCGAAGGGGCAAACUGUCUGCACAGUUCUGACAUGAAAUAAUAAAGCGUUGCUGGUUGGGAAGUUCCCUAGUGGUCAGUUUGGUGAUAGCGGCCUGAAGGAAGCUGCCAGAGGAACAACACGCAAGGAAAAAGAAGAAUUGAGAAGAAUUUCUGUCAGACGAAGCAGAAGAAUACGGCUACUCAGUGAUAAAUCAGGAAUUUACGAAAAGCUGAUGCCAGUGGAUCACCAAAUAAUUGGGGCCCGUCUCCGAGAAAUUGGAGACGAGGUGAACCAAAGUGGACAAAGAAACCGUUCGAGUACGAGUGAACAAAUACUUUUCCUAAUGCUCUUCCUCAUACUCUUACGUACUCCAUGUCCUAUACAGCACAAACGUAAGGAUUGAAGUGGAUUACGAAAAAACAUUUUAUUUCAAGUUUAAAAGAGAACACUUGGCAACAGCCGGUGGAAGAUUGUACAAGGAUUCAAAGUGUCGGGAUGAAAAACAAGAGGCAAGCUCCAAAAGGAAAUUAUAUGCCUGGAAUCUUUCAGAGAAACUUGUAGAUAUAAAUCAAUUUAUAAAAUACAUUUAAGUAAGUCUGUCAUAUGGGAAUUAAAAUUUGUUUCAGGCAGUUUAAAAAUGGCCUGUAUUAAUAUUUAACAAAUUGAAUGUAAUCGUUGAACAACAUUUCAUAUUAAAUUGGCGACUGAAUGAUUAAUUUAAUGCCAUUAUCACUCAAUUUUUGGAAUCGGAAAACCACCAAAAAGAUGCUUUACAAGUUCUUUGAAUUGAAAAAUGAAAUUAAUCGUCCCUUUCUUGAUAAAUUAAAUACAACCGCGAGGGGACUCUCGGUCUAAUAAAGAAUUAUAUGUUGUAAAUUUUAUGGGAAGUAGUAUUUAUAUUGAGUAUAGUUAAGAUUAUAGUUCACCACUAAAUUUUCUCUGGUUCUUAUUGGUUUAAAUCGAUCACGUGACGCGAUAGUGUUCAUCCGUGGAGAGACACUAUCAGCCCAUAGUGUCCGCCCGCGGAAAAUACCCGAAUGGAUAGUGCCGUCCGCGGAAAAGACCUGGAUUGAUAGUACUCAUCCGUGAAAAGUUUUGAAUAGUUUGACGGCCGCGAAGUUAGGCAGAUCGGAAAAAC